AGGACGAACGCUGGCGGCGUGCUUAACACAUGCAAGUCGAACGGUGAACUCCGCUUGCGGGGGGAUCAGUGGCGAACGGGUGAGUAACACGUGGGUAACCUGCCCUCAGCUCUGGGAUAACUCCAAGAAAUUGGGGCUAAUACCGGAUAUUUCCGCUGGCCGCAUGGUCUGGUGGUGGAAAGAUUUAUCGGCUGGGGGAUGGGCCCGCGGCCUAUCAGCUUGUUGGUGGGGUAUGGCCUACCAAGGCGACGACGGGUAGCCGGCCUGAGAGGGUGACCGGCCACACUGGGACUGAGACACGGCCCAGACUCCUACGGGAGGCAGCAGUGGGAAUAUUGCGCAAUGGGCGAAAGCCUGACGCAGCGACGCCGCGUGGGGAUGACGGCCUUCGGUUGUAAACCUCUUUCAGCAGGACGAAGCGAGAGUGACGGUACCUGCAGAAGAAGCACGCAACUACGUGCCAGCAGCCGAC
rnacentral:rRNA from 1 species